rnacentral:rRNA from 1 species
AUUGAACGCUGGCGGCAGGCCUAACACAUGCAAGUCGAGCGGAGCGGCGGACGGGUGAGUAAUGCCUAGGAAUCUGCCUGGUCGUGGGGGAUAACGUCCGGAAACGGGCGCUAAUACCGCUUACUAUCAGCUGAGCCUAGGUCGGAAUAGCUAGCUGGUGGGGGAAAGGCAUACCAAGGCGACGACCCGUAGCUGGUCUGAGAGGAUGAUCAGUCAACCUGGAACUGAGACACGGUCCAAACUCCUACGUGAGGCAGCAGUGGGAAAUAUUGGACAAUGGGCGAAAGCCUGAUCCAGCCAUGCCGCGUGUAUGAAGAAGGUCUUCGGAUUGUAAAGCACUUUAAGUUGGGAGGCGUUACCAGCAGAAUAAGCACCGGCUAACUUCGUGCCAGCAGCCGCGGUAGUUC